AGAUUGAACGCUGGCGGCAUGCCUAACACAUGCAAGUCGAACGGCAGCACGGCAGUAGCAAUACUGUGGGUGGCGAGUGGCGGACGGGUGAGGAAUGCGUCGGAAUCUGCCCAGUUGUGGGGGAUAACUAGCCGAAAGGUUAGCUAAUACCGCAUACGACCGAGAGGUGAAAGCGGGGACCUGCAAGGGCCUCGCGCGAUUGGAUGAGCCGACGCCGGAUUAGCUAGUUGGUAGGGUAAAGGCCUACCGAAGGCGACGAUCCGUAGCUGGUCUGGAGAGGAUGAUCAGCCACACUGGAACUGACGACGACGGUCCAAGACCUCCGAACGGGAGCAGCGAGGUGGGAAUAGUUGGAACAAGUGGG
rnacentral:rRNA from 1 species